UGGGGUAUAUUGGACAAUGGAGGAAACUCUGAUCCAGCAAUUCUGUGUGUGUGAAGAAGGUUUUAGGACUGUAAAACACUUUUAGUAGGGAAGAAAAAAAUGACGGUACCUACAGAAGAAGCAACGGCUAAAUACGUGCCAGCAGCCGCGGUAAUACGUAUGUUGCGAGCGUUAUCCGGAAUUAUUGGGCUUAAAGGGCAUCUAGGCGGUAAGACAAGUUGAAGGUGAAAACCUGUGGCUCAACCAUAGGCUUGCCUACAAAACUGUUGAACUAGAGUACUGGAAAGGUGGGUGGAACUACACGAGUAGAGGUGAAAUUCGUAGAUAUGUGUAGGAAUGCCGAUGAUGAAGAUAACUCACUGGACAGAAACUGACGCUGAAGUGCGAAAGCUAGGGGAGCAAACAGG
rnacentral:rRNA from 1 species